rnacentral:rRNA from 1 species
UACAGAGGGUGCAAGCGUUAAUCGGAUUUACUGGGCGUAAAGCGUGCGUAGGCGGUUCAGUGUGUCGGUUGUGAAAUCCCCGGGCUUAACCUGGGAACUGCAUCCGAAACUGCUGGGCUAGAGUGUGGUAGAGGGCGGUAGAAUUCCAGGUGUAGCGGUGAAAUGCGUAGAUAUUUGGAGGAACACCGAUGGCGAAGGCAGCCGCCUGGGCCACAACUGACGCUGAGGUACGAAAGCGUGGGGAGCAAACAGG